rnacentral:rRNA from 1 species
GAUGAACGCUGGCGGCGUGCCUAAUACGUGCAAGUCGAGCGAACGGACGAGAAGCUUGCUUCUCUGAUGUCAGCGGCGGACGGGUGAGUAACACGUGGAUAACCUACCUAUAAGACUGGGAUAACUUCGGGAAACCGGAGCUAAUACCGGAUGAUAUUUUGAACCGCAUGGUUCAAAAGUGAAAGACGGUCUUGCUGUCACUUAUAGAUGGAUCCGCGCUACAUUAGCUAGUUGGUAAGGUAACGGCUUACCAAGGCAACGAUGCAUAGCCGACCUGAGAGGGUGAUCGGCCACACUGGAACUGAGACACGGUCCAGACUCCUACGGGAGGCAGCAGUAGGGAAUCUUCCGCAAUGGGCGAAAGCCUGACGGAGCAACGCCGCGUGAGUGAUGAAGGUCUUCGGAUCGUAAAACUCUGUUAUUAGGGAAGAACAUAUGUGUAAGUAACUGUGCACAUCUUGACGGUACCUAAUCAGAAAGCCACGGCUAACUACGUG